rnacentral:tRNA from 1 species
GCGGUGGUAGUAUAGUGGUUAGUAUUCGGCGUUGCCAACGCUGUGACCUGGGUUCAAAUCCCAGCCGCCGCA